GACGAACGCUGGCGGCGUGCUUAACACAUGCAAGUCGAACGGAAAGGCCCUGCUUUUGUGGGGUGCUCGAGUGGCGAACGGGUGAGUAACACGUGAGUAACCUGCCCUUGACUUUGGGAUAACUUCAGGAAACUGGGGCCAAUACCGGAUAGGAGCUCCUGAUGCAUGGUGGGGGUAGGAAAGUUUCGGCGGUCGGGGAUGGACUGGCGGCUUAUCAGCUAGUUGGUGGGGUAGUGGCUUACCAAGGAAUUGACGGGUAGCCGGCCUGAGAGGGUGACCGGCCACAUUGGGACUGCGAUACGGCCCAGACUCCUACGGUAGGCAGCAGUGGGGAAUAUUGCACAAUGGUCGGAAGCCUGAUGCAGCAACGCCGCGUUCGGGAUGACGUCCUUCGGGUUGUAAACCGCUUUCGCCUGUGACGAAGCGUGAGUGACGGUAAUGGGUAAAGAAGCACCGGCUAACUACGUG
rnacentral:rRNA from 1 species